UUUUAAAGUACUUAUAACCCACAUGUCAGCUGGGGUCAUCUUAUUUUUGGAGAUUCAAAUGGAAUGGGCUUGAACUUGGUCCCACAUGCCAUGGGAGACCCAACUUUCCUUGGAACCUUUCCAGGGAAUGGGGGUGAAGGGCGUUUGUGUCUCUCCUAGUCACCCAAGGUUCUGAAUUCCUGCAUCCAAUGAAUCCGUUCUGCUUAGGUGCCCUUUUUUGAUUUAUAAUGUUGUGCCAGUUUCUGCUGUACAGCAAAGCGACCCAUUCAUUUGUUUACACACACACACACACACACACACACACACACAUUCCCUUUCUUACAUUAUCUUCCAUCAUGGGCUAACCCAGGAGAUUGGCUAUAGUUCCCUGUGCUAUAUAGUAGGGCCGCACUGCUUAAUCCAGUCUAAAUGUCAUAGUUUGCAUCUACUAACUCCCAAUUCCCAGUCUGUCCUACUCCCUACCACCCACCACUGCAACCGCAAGUCUGUUCUUGACGUCUGUGAGUCUGUUUCCGUUUUGUAGAUAGGUUCGUUUGUGCCAUAUUUUAUAUUUCACAUAUUACUGAUAUCAUGUGGUAUUUGUCUUUCUCUUUAUGAUCUGCUUCACUUAGUAUGAGACUCUCUAGUUGCAUUCACGUUGCUAUAAAUGGCAUUAUUUCACUCUUUUUAUGGCUGAGUAGUAUUCCAUUAUAUACGUGUACCACAUCUUAAUCCAUUCAUCUGUUGAUGGACAUGUAGGGGUUUCCAAGUCUUAGCUCUUGUCAAUAGUGCUGCUAUGAACACACAGGUGCAAUGUAUCUUUUUGAAUGAAAGUCUGUCCAGAUUUAUGCCCAGGAGUAGGAUUGCUGGAUCAUGUGGUAGUUCUAUAUUUACUUUUCUGAGGAACCUCCAUACUGUCUUCCAUGGUGGUUGUACUUAGUCAUUGUUGAACAAAGGGCUGCACAUUUUCAUUCUGCAAAUCAGGUAGCUAGACCUGCUUGAUUCAGGAGCUUUCCUUUCCCACCCCACGCUGACCCACUCGAGACUCUGCCCCAAUUCCUCCACUGUCCCUAAAGCCCAUCCAUGGAGUUCAUGUGCGUAUAGACUUGGACUGAAGCUUUCGGAUGAAGGAAAAUUUUGGCCUUCGAGCUAAGUUAACAGCAUCAAGUCCAGUGUAUGAACUGGCUCAAAGCUACUCAGUGGGAAACAAUGAAGGAGGAGGGAAGGCCGAUGAAACAAGAGAGGCCAAAGGUGGACCCGUGAAUAUACUCAAAGACACAGAGCUGGGCACUUGAGAUGGGUGAAUGAGAUGGUAAGUGAAUUAUAUCUCAAUAAAACUGUUGGGGGAAAAAAAAAGUCAUGCCUUCCCCACUCCUCCCCUCAUCCUGCCAGGAAUCCUUAGGCUCCAGACUCCUGCCUUUGGGGAAAUCUGUCUUCCACCCUCUCUCUGCAUGUGUGCACACACGCACGUGCACACAUACACACAACUUCCAUCUCUCCUUCCCAUUACCUUCUUCUGCCUUAAGACACUUUUUUUUUCUUCUUAGGGCCGCAUCUGCGGCCUAUGGAAGCUCCCAGGCUAGGGGUCAAAUGGGAGCUGGAGCUGCCAGUCUGUGCCACAGUCACAGCAAUGCCAGAUCCAAGCGACCUACACGGCAGUUCAUGGCCAUGCCUGAUCCUUAACCCCCUGAGCUGGGCCAGGGAUUGAACCCUCAUCCUCACAGACACUAUGUUGGGUUCUUAACCCGCUGAGCCACAACGGGAACUCUGGGACAUUUUUCAUUCUAUUUCCAUUCUCACCAAUAUCAGGGGAGGGCCUUCUCCCACAGUCAGGGUGCCCCACGGAGGUAUUUUCUUACAACACUUUCCUCUUUAAAGGCUACUCAGUUGACAGGUAUUAAAAUUACAAUUUUUGAAGUCCCCU
rnacentral:lncRNA from 1 species